ACGGCCAUACCUAGGCGAAACACCAGUUCCCGUCCGAUCACUGCAGUUAAGCGUCUGAGGGCUCGUUAGUACUGCGGUUGCAUUUUAUGCUUGUUA
rnacentral:rRNA from 1 species